GGUAAGAUGGCCGAAAGAACAGGCGGCGGGUUGUAGCCCUGAUUAUAGAGGUUCAAGUCCUUUUCUCACCA
rnacentral:tRNA from 1 species